rnacentral:rRNA from 1 species
GAUGAACGCUGGCGGCGUGCUUAACACAUGCCAGUCGAACGAUGAAGCCCAGCUUUCUGGGUGUCUUAGUGGCGAACGGGUGAGUAACACGCGAGUAACCUGCCCUUAACUCUGGGAUAAGCCUGGAAAACUGGGUCUAAUACCGGAUAUGAGCGUCCACCGCAUGGUGGGUGUUGUAGAGAUUUAUCGGUUUUGGAUAGACUCGCGGCCGAUCAGCUUGUUGGUGGGGGAAUGGCUCACCAAGGCGACGACGGGUAGCCGGCCUGAGAGGGUGACCGGCCACACUGGGACUGAGAUACGGCCCAGACUCCUACGGGAGGCAGCAGUGGGGAAUAUUGCACAAUGGGCGAAAGCCUGAUGCAGCGACGCCGCGUGAGGGAUGACGGCCUUCGGGUUGUAAACCUCUUUCAGUAGGGAAGAAGCGAGAGUGACGGUACCUGCAGAAGAAGCACCGGCUAACUACGUG